rnacentral:rRNA from 1 species
UGCUCCUAGUACGAGAGGACCGGAGUGGACGCAUCACUGGUGUUCGGGUUGUCAUGCCAAUGGCACUGCCCGGUAGCUAAAUGCGGAAGAGAUAAGUGCUGAAAGCAUCUAAGCACGAAACUUGCCCCGAGAUGAGUUCUCCCUGAGACUUUAAGUCUCCUGAAGGAACGUUGAAGACGACGACGUUGAUAGGCCGGGUGUGUAAGCGCAGCGAUGCGUUGAGCUAACCGGUACUAAUGAACCGUGAGGCUUAACCUUACAACGCCGAAGCUGUU